UUCUAUCCCUCCUCCAUUUCCCCGAAGGAACUCGGGGCAGCUAACAGAGGGCAAAGCCUGAGAACAAUAAACAAAAUAAAUAGAUAAAACAGCAUAUUCAAAUAAGGAAACACAAUAAAAUCAGUCAGUCAUUGAUACAGUACAUAUACAAUAACUGUAAAAACCAAUUAAAACAUAAAAUGAUUAGAUAAAAGUUUUCCUUCUGUGAAAAUUUUAUAUUUAUUUUAGGACCAUUAUCAGAGAUACUUUUCCCAUUCCAGUUUUUCCCAUAGCCACAAGAAUUCAUCUAGAUCAAGUGCAGUAAACAGGAAUAACACUGUACAGAGGUAAAGACACACACAUGCAAUCAUGUUAUCUAUGCAUGGCAUCAUAACGUCUUUGCUUUAGGGCUAACCUACCAUUAAGCAGAAUACAACAACCACCUCAAGCAACAGAAAUGAAUCAUAAGGGCCAAACAUAUCAUAAGACAAUUCUAGAGAUUGCACGUAUACCUCAAAGAAUACACAACCAACUGAAACUUCAUUUUGGCAAUAGUGUAAUAUCUUCACAGGAUCCUGACUGAUAAUUAGAAAGCAUAAGGAAUUUGUACAAUUUUUGAGACAGUACAUUAGUUUCAUGGGACCAGGACAGGUUUCUAUUCUUACCACAAGAACCUGCCAUCUCAAAUAGGUUGCAUGUGUAGACUUUGCAUGCUUUUUGCGAGUUGCUCCAUAUCACAAGGAACUCAGUAUCUACCUUUUGCAUUAUAAUUGUUUCCAUUUUUCAUAGGUGGGGCAGCCGAGGUCAAGAGUGUGGACAUUCCAGUAUAGAGAAGGAACAAUGUAUGCACACCACCAGUCUGGACAGGAACCAACACAUAUGGAGUCAGGAGAAGCUGAGAGCACUCAAGCAGGCCGAUCACUCACAACAGGAGCCGGAGCCACACAGCUGAGAGGCCUGGAUUAAAUGGACUGAGAGCUGAUAGAGAAGUGACAAGGAGGAGCGGAGCAAAUCUCAAGAAAUGAUUUAAAACUUCCCCGGGAUGAGGCGAGGAACCCACGGUUAUAACCUUUAACGCCACUCCCCGAUAUCCCUAAGCAGAAAGACACAACUCAAAUGUAUACCAAUUCUUUGUAUACUUCAUUAAUCCUGAUGCGUUUGUCCUCAAUUAGGAAGUGCAAAACAUGCAUGAUGAAAAUUCUAAUAAUUGGGUUAUGCAUCCCCUUAAGUUUCACUUUUGUUUUACUCUGUUAUUGUAUAGGCAUUUUAUUGGAUACUGUCGUGUGCCGUUUUUGUAUUUAAUGUUGUUUUACUGUAAUUGUUUGGGUUUGGCCCCAUGAUAGACACCCCGAGUCCCUUCGGGGAAAUGGAGACGGGAUACAAAAAUAAAGUUAUUAUUAUUUUGUGGAAGAAUGCUUGGGGAGAGAAAGAGGAAAUAGUGUGAACAAAGAAAAAAGGUGCUAUCUCAAGUGUUAUUACACUACAUGUAUAAAGCAAUUCACAUUAUACUUAAUAUAUUUUUCCAUGUAUACUUUCAGUAAUAGAAAUGGUUCAAGCAAUAAAAACAAUUGGUCAAUAAAUGUUAUGACACAUCAGAGAAA